ensembl:miRNA MIR196A1 microRNA 196a-1
CUGAGUGAAUUAGGUAGUUUCAUGUUGUUGGGCCUGGAUUUCUGAACACAACGACAUUAAACCACCCGACUCACGGCAG